GCCGAAGUGGUGGAACUGGUAGACGCGGCGGACUCAAAAUCCGCUGGGGUUUGUCCCCGUGGGGGUUCGACUCCCCCCUUCGGCA
rnacentral:tRNA from 1 species